rnacentral:rRNA from 1 species
AGAGUUUGAUCAUGGCUCAGGACGAACGCUGGCGGCGCGCCUAACACAUGCAAGUCGAACGGAGUCAAGAGGAGCUUGCUUUUCUUGACUUAGUGGCGAACGGGUGAGUAACGCGUGAGUAACCUGCCCUGAAUGGGGGACAACAGUUGGAAACGACUGCUAAUACCGCAUAAGCCCACGGAUUCGCAUGGAUCUGCGGGAAAAGGAUUUAUUCGCUUCAGGAUGGACUCGCGUCCAAUUAGCUAGUUGGUGAGGUAACGGCCCACCAAGGCGACGAUUGGUAGCCGGACUGAGAGGUUGAUCGGCCGCAUUGGGACUGAGACACGGCCCAGACUCCUACGCGAGGCAGCA